CUCAGCACUAGAAUAACGGAGAAGCUCAGGAGGACCCGCUGCACUGCGGUGUGUGUUUGUUGAUGAAAGAAUCGAUUUGCCGACUCAGGACACAGAUACGGUUGUAUCUUCCACGCGAGGCAACUUUGUUCUGGAUGAGUUGCAGGCAACCCAGGAGGGAGCAGUGGCUCUGGUGGCAGUGGUCAAUGAAGAGGAGGUGCCUGCAGGAGUUCCCUUUAAAACUCACAACGUUUCAAUCGUCCUCGAGGAUCAGGUUGUAAUGUCUCACAGAUAUUGGACAGAUUCACUGGUGAUUUUGUUUGGACUGAUCUAUGCUCUCCAUUUGGGCUACCCUGAGAAACUAAGUGGCUUCUUUGAGUUCAUUCAGGUUGUCCUCUUAAAUCUUGAUGAUGGGAGAAAGUAGCUCAAACCUAUGUUACAGGACUUGAGAAAUAAGCUGGAGUAAAGUUGUCAACAGGUUUUGUUGUUGAAGGUCAGCAAUGUCGUAAAAAAAUAUCGUUUGGCUUGCAUGCCAACAACUGUUUUCAGUUCUGAUUUUUGUGUGUUUAAACAGGUACUGUGAAAAUCACAAGAGUUCUAGUUAGAUUUAAUAGUUUUUACUACAAUGUGUGUUUACAUUGUUUCUGUGGUGUCUUCACACUUUCUGCACUACCACAUGAAAAUAACAUUUAUAUCAUUAUAUUUUAUUUUGUUUGUUAUUUUUGAGUCUUUGAUUUCAUAGUUUUCCCAACACAUAAAUGUGUAUGACAUUUUAUUCACCAGCUUCAUUGUAUAAAAUUAUGGACACUAACUCCACACAAAAUCAAAACAUCAAAUUGAACAAAAUUUUCUAAAUCAGGUUUAGAAGUGAAAACUGUUUAAUGCACAAUUUAUGGAUAUGGGCACAGUAACCUGCUUAGACUGCUGCUUGCAGGAGAGGGGGACAAUUUGGGGAGGAGGCAACGUAAUAAUAAUAAAGCAUAUAGUUGAACUUCUUGUGACCUUUAAGAUUUCAGACCACAUGACUAGGAAUAAGCAGGUAUAGGCAAUGCAUGGAUGGAUUCCUGCAUGGAAACAUUCAUCCUUUUGACAGAAACCAGACUAUAUUUCUCUCUCCUUCAAUUUCUAUGCAAUAAUAAAAGACUGACUCUGCUAUGCAAUUGUGUUGUCCAAACAGGUUUUUAAUGUUAUCAACAAAUUGGCUACAUGCUCAAAUUGCUUACUUUAGCAACACAAUAAGAUAAAACAGUGAUAAUUCAUAACAUUAGGACGUAUCACGGUCAAGAGUCUCUCUCACAAUAACUUAAUUGUCGAUCAUUGUAUUUGUUCAAUUUUAUAGUUAUUUUAUUAUCUAUGUUCUAUUGCCAUUUUUGCAGUUGUUUUUGCCGCCAUUUCAAUUAUAUUCAUAACAUACUCGAGUCAAAUAUAAUUAAAACCAAUGUAUACACAGUCCUAAGUUACCAUCAUACCAUCACGUCAAUUGUGUAACAACAAAUUAAAUCAUUCUAACAGUAAAUGAAAUUACCCUAUAAUGUGCAUUGUGGUUAUGUGGUUUUUUUUUCUGUACAUAUUAAUGUUAACAAGGAAACUCAUUUCGUAAUGUGAGACCAGCCACAUCCUCAGAUUAUGAAACAUGAAUAUUUAUUGAUUGAAAAGACAUAGCAACUUCAUAACUUACCUUGAAGUGAGUUGUGGUAACAUUGAUGAGGAAAGCUGCUUUUGUUUAUUUCUUAUCACCCAGGUAAGUUUUACAAAGCAAAUAGCUGACCAUACAGACUGUGGGACAAGUAAGGAUUAAAUGAGAAUGUUUAUUUUCUGAAUCCAGCAGUUCCAACUGUCAAUGCCCUAGUUAACAUGUUCAGCACUCUGAAUACUGAAAGAAGCGAUAUUGCGUGCUAGAACCCCUCACUUAACCUACAUGUAAAAUAUAUUUUAUUCGAUUUAAUUUAAUAAUUAUGUUUAAAAUUAGAAUGAUCAAUUAAAUCGCCACAUUCAUUGAUAGGUCAGUCUACAGAAAACUGAUGGAAUCAACCAACAAGUCAAAACAAGCUGUACAAGGUUUCAAGAUUAAAGAAUUAGAUUAAUGAAUUGAAAUAAUACAUUCUUUAUUGAAUGCAGGCACACUACUAAAUUACAAAAUAGAAGACAUACAAAAAAACAUUACACAAUUGAUUAUUGUCAUGGUUCUGCCUUUUCUGUUACGGUUAUUCCUUUUUUGGGCCGCCAGAUGGCGGCAUUUCGCAUCUUUGUACUUUGGUUUGUUUGCCUCAUUGCUUUCUCCUCCUGUGUUGAUUCUAUCAGUGUUUUCACCUGUUGUCUCGUUGUCCCUCUCCUUUCUGUGUUGAUUGUGCAUUGUGUUCACCUGUGUCUGGUUAUCCCUCUUGUCUAUAAGUUCUUUGUUUCCCUGAGUUGGGCGCUGGAUCCUACUGUUUUCUGCCCUCGUUGUGUGUUCUUAGUGCUUUGUGUGUUUUCAAGGAUUUCGAGUUCCGCUGCUUGUUUUCUUGUUUGUUUUCUAGUGUUUUGAGUUCCUUGUUGUGUUUUCUGUUCUUAGAAUUUUUAGUUCUUUUUGGGAAUUGCCCCUCAUGGCCUUUUGGUUGUUCUGUUUACUUUUUGAAAGUAAAGUCUUUAUUUAAAUUUA